GUGGGGAAUAUUGGACAAUGGGCGAAAGCCUGAUCCAGCCAUGCCGCGUGUGUGAAGAAGGUCUUCGGAUUGUAAAGCACUUUAAGUUGGGAGGAAGGGCAGUAAGUUAAUACCUUGCUGUUUUGACGUUACCGACAGAAUAAGCACCGGCUAACUUCGUGCCAGCAGCCGCGGUAAUACGAAGGGUGCAAGCGUUAAUCGGAAUUACUGGGCGUAAAGCGCGCGUAGGUGGUUUUGUAAGUUGGAGGUGAAAUCCCCGGGCUCAACCUGGGCACUGCCUCCAAAACUGCAUGACUAGAGUACGGUAGAGGGUAGUGGAAUUUCCUGUGUAGCGGUGAAAUGCGUAGAUAUAGGAAGGAACACCAGUGGCGAAGGCGACUACCUGGACUGAUACUGACACUGAGGUGCGAAAGCGUGGGGAGCAAACAGGAUUAGAAACCCUAGUAGUCC
rnacentral:rRNA from 1 species